AGUAUAAUUUACAAAUAUAUCAGCUUUCUAAAAUCUCUUGUAGACAAGAACGUAAAAUUUCCAAAAAGAUAUCUGCAUGAUACUCCCCGAAUAUUAGGCAAGGCCUUAGACGAAUUGAUUUUUCGCCACAAUCGCCAACUUGAAUACCUAGUAGUUUAUUUGUAACAAAUAAUUAUGAAAAUAUGAGACAUUAACAAAUUUCGAAGUUACCUUUAGAACGCAUUAGGCGCAGCAGUUUAUUUCUAAGGUCUUUAGUGGGCAUAUCGAACGCGAUGAUAAACCCUCUGCCUCGUACGGAAUUCAUAAGCUCCGGAAAUUCGUUUUGCAAAGUGUUCAAUUGACAAAGCAGUGCGAUAAUGCCAGUGCACCGAAGGUUCUACCAUAACAUCCACCUAUAUUUAUAAAUAUCUCAUCAGAUACAAGCAAUGAGGAUAUCAAGAUAACACUACUGUGUUAAGGUGUUCGACGAAGCUAAUAGUAAGAGUGUCAAUUGCAACUGCUGUGUAUAUUAAUGCUUACUGUAUUAAUACUUGUACGCAAAUAUUUGCAAGUCGAAUGAAGUCCUGAAACAAACUGGAAGAAGUACACCGGCAUCAAUUAUCUCGAAGCGUAAAUCCAUCGAGACAUAAGUAAUUUUCAAAACUGUUUGGAUCAAUUUUGAACAAGAAAUUUAAACAAUGGUACGAUAAUCAAUGUGAUCAAGGAGAUAUUAAAAGUUCGGAACGCUUCAAUAAUACCUGUAGCACAUGACAUUAUCGGAACACGUUACAGUAAAGAUAAAAUGAAGCUUACAUUGCUAGUACAUUGAAUGAGACACGCGUGUAGCACGAUCACUCAGAACGAGUUUGGUGAAGCUAAUGCGGUGUAGAAAUCUGGGCAAAGUGACGAAUUAUAUAUUGUAUUAUGUGAUUAUAAAACAAAGUAAAUUGAGGAUAAAAAAAAAACAGAUCAGUGCCAGGUCAUUUGAAUUAAAAAUACUGUACAAGCAUUCGUCCUGGCAAAAAUGUACAACCUGCUCUUGAGCGAUCUGCUUUUUUUCUUUCAGUUAAUCGACGAUCAUUGAGACGCAUCUUGAACUUAUGAAACAUACACAAAGCCACGAAUUCUUAAUGUCGGAGAAGAUGACAUGGUUUUCUUUUUCGAUGGAAACGCAUAUCUCUUCGACUUUCGCAGAGUUUCGAUUUCCAAAUGUUAUCUCACAUUUCACACAAAAAUUUUGUUGGUCUCCGACGAUUCAAGCAUCAGAUAAUUUGGUACAUACUUUCAUGCUUGUAUUUUGCAUUAAUAAAACACCAGAAGCGAGAAUUUCUUGCUUCCUUCCGUACGAGUAUGGGUAUGCUUAUGUAUGAAUAUAUAUAUAUUUAUUCGUUAGAUGCGGAUGAUAAAUAAUAUUGCCCUCUUGGAUUGAUUGAGAAUAUAUAGAAACUGAAUAUACUUGGACAUGUACAUACAAUGUAUAGUGCUAGCUUAGUAAUUUUCAUAAACGGUAUUUUACUAGGUAAAAUAUAAACAAUAUUCUUUA